rnacentral:rRNA from 1 species
GAUGAACGCUAGCUACAGGCUUAACACAUGCAAGUCGAGGGACCGGCGCAUGGGUGAGUAACACGUAUCCAACCUGCCCUUUACUCGGGGAUAGCCUUUCGAAAGAAAGAUUAAUACCCGAUAUAAAGGAUGGGGAUGCGUUACAUUAGGUUGUUGGUGAGGUAACGGCUCACCAAGCCUUCGAUGGAUAGGGGUUAUGAGAGGAAGGCCCCCCACAUUGGAACUAAGGCACGGUCCAAACUCCUACGGAGGACAGCAGUGUGGAAUAUUGGUCAAUGGGCGCUAGCCCUGACCAGCCAAGUAGCGUGAAGAGUGAAGGGUUUUGGGUCGUAAACUUCUUUUAUAUAAGAAUAUGUAUUAUAUGAAUAAGGAUCGGCUAACUCCGUGCCAGCAGCCGCGGUAAUUC